UACCCGCGCCCCGAGUGGUGGUCGAUAUUAUUGAGCCUAAAACGUCCGUAGCCGGUCUUCUAAAUCCUUGGGAAAUCUGUCGGCUUAACCGACAGGCGUUUAAGGGAUACUGGCAAUCUAGGGACCGGGAGAGGUGAGAGGUACUUCUGGGGUAGGGGUAAAAUCCUGUAAUCCUGGAAGGACCACCGGUGGCGAAGGCGUCUGACUAGAACGGAUCCGACGGUGAGGGACGAAGCCCUGGGGCGCAAACGGG
rnacentral:rRNA from 1 species